CAGCAGCCGCGGUAAUACGAAGGGGGCUAGCGUUGUUCGGAAUUACUGGGCGUAAAGCGCACGUAGGCGGACAUUUAAGUCAGGGGUGAAAUCCCGGGGCUCAACCUUGGAACUGCCUUUGAUACUGGAGAUCUUGAGUCCGGGAGAGGUGAGUGGAACUGCGAGUGUAGAGGUGAAAUUCGUAGAUAUUCGCAAGAACACCAGUGGCGAAGGCGGCUCACUGGCCCGGUACUGACGCUGAGGCGCGAAAGCGUGGGGAGCAAACAGGAUUAGAUACCCCCGUAGUCCCUGUCUCUUAUAC
rnacentral:rRNA from 1 species